CUGAGGGAGGCAGGCCAAGCAGCCAUCACUCCUUCUGGAAUUCUGUUUGCCAGAGAGGAAGCCGAGGCAAGAGAGGCAGAGUGCUCUGGGAGCAGAUAAGCCGGCGCCUGACUGGACUGGCCCACCACUCCUUGCUGUGAAUGUCUGAGCCGCAGGGACUGUGUGGUGUGGUGCCUCCUCCCCUGGCCCGCUGCCCUGCUCCAGUGAACACUGCAUUGCCAGUCUCUGGUGAGACAGGUCCUCUACCCUGAACCUCCCCGGUUCAUCUCUCCCUUCAGUUCUUGCCUCACUAAUGUUAUACCUAACACCACUGCCCAGGGCUUCCCUCCUAAUGUGCCCCCAGCAUCUUAUUUGUCUCUAGCUGUGGGGACAAGGAGCAGCCUGCUGGCUUCAGACAGCCCAGCACAUUCCUGGAAGUGGCCAAGCUAGCCAGGCUUUCUUCGGUUGCUUCACCUGUUGGCGACACUAGCUCCUUUGAAUGAGCAGCCUCCUCCAACAUUUGACAGCUGCGAUCCCAGCCCCAGCAAUUGAUCACAUUAUCUCGGCGGGACUCACAGGCUUCGGAGGAGCCAUAAUCCCCAGUCUACUUGCUGCUGAUGUUGCUUGAGAAGCACACGGAGCUGAGUUGGAUCCAGUUACACCAGAGAAUUUACUUUUAGAAGACGUUUUUCUGCUUGUAGUAAAGCCCCUAAAAUGUGGCAAAGAAAAUAAAAUUAAAAUGUUAAACAAGACCAAGUUAAUGGUCUUUGUUAACUUGCUAAGAAAA